rnacentral:misc_RNA from 1 species
GAUGAAGAACGUAGCGAAAUGCGAUAAGUAAUGUGAAUUGCAGAAUUCAGUGAAUCAUCGAAUCUUUGAACGCACAUUGCGCCCGCCAGUAUUCUGGCGGGCAUGCCUGUUCGAGCGUCAUUUCAACCAUCAAGCCCCAGGCUUGUGUUGGGGACCUGCGGCUGCCGCAGGCCCUGAAAACCAGUGGCGGGCUCGCUGUCACACCGGGCGUAGUAGAUUUUAUCUCGCUCAGGGCGUGCUGCGGGUCCCGGCCGUUAAAAGCCUUUUUUUACCCAAGGUUGACCUCGGAUCAGGUAGGAAGACCCGCUGAACUUAAGCAUAUCAAUAACGGAGGA